CCUACGGGGGGCAGCAGUGGGGAAUAUUCGGCAAUGGGCGCAAGCCUGACCCAGCAAUGCCGCGUGAAGGAAGAAGGCUUUCGGGUUGUAAACUUCUUUGACAGGGGAAGAGCAGAAGACGGUACCCUGAAAACAAGCCACGGCUAACUACGUGCCAGCAGCCGCGGUAAUGCGUAGGUGGCAAGCGUUGUCCGGAUUUACUGGGUGUAAAGGGCGUGUAGCGGGGAAGGAAAGUAAGAUGUGAAAUACGGAGGCUCAACCUCCGAAUUGCAUUUGAAACUGUUUUUCUUGAGUACUGGAGAGGCAGACGGAAUUCCUUGUGUAGCGGUGAAAUGCGUAGAUAUAAGGAGGAACACCAGUGGCGAAGGCGGUCUGCUGGACAUCAACUGACGGUGAGGCGCGAAAGCGUGGGGAGCAAACAGGAUUAGAUACCCGAGUAGUC
rnacentral:rRNA from 1 species